rnacentral:rRNA from 1 species
CCCUUAGAUGUUCUGGGCUGCACGCGCGCUACACUGAAGCGUUCAACGAGUAUUCACCUUGCCCGGGAGGGUUGGGUAAUCUUUUCAAAACGCUUCGUGAUGGGGAUAGAUUAUUGCAAUUAUUAAUCUUCAACGAGGAAUGCCUAGUAGGCGCAAGUCAUCAGCUUGCGUCGAUUACGUCCCUGCCCUUUGUACACACCGCCCGUCGCUCCUACCGAUUGGGUGUGCUGGUGAAAUGUUCGGAUCGGCCGUUUGUCGCGGUUUCCGCGUCAUGUGGCUGAGAAGUUCAUUAAACCCUCCCACCGAGAGGAAGGAGAAGUCGUAACA